rnacentral:rRNA from 1 species
UACGUAUGUCGCAAGCGUUAUCCGGAUUUAUUGGGCGUAAAGUGCGUCUAGGCGGUUUAGUAAGUCUGAUGUGAAAAGGAGGGGCUCAACCCUGUAUUGCGUUGGAAACUGGUAAACUUGAGUACUGGAGAGGUAGGCGGAACUACAAGUGUAGAGGUGAAAUUCGUAGAUAUUUGUAGGAAUACCGAUGGGGAAGGCAGCCUACUGGACUGAUACUGACGCUAAAGUGCGAAAGCGUGGGUAGCAAACAGG